rnacentral:sRNA from 1 species
AGUCAAGGUCCGGACCCUGUGGGUUAUCACUGCAAAUGAAUCCCUCCCACAGGAAUCAACUUGACCUGGC